CGGCGUCAAGGUGUCUGGAGCUGGGCUGUGUUUUUCUCGGAGUGGACCCCGGUAACCACCAGCUUCCCUGCUGUCGGAGUGGACCCCCUAACCGCGAACUUCCCCGCCGUGUUCUGUGUGUUGCUGGCUGGAGAAGGGUAGUUGACAAACUCCGACCCAGCUCAGUGUUUCUGUGGGUCAAAACUAGAAAACUGUCCGGACGCGGCCGAGGCGGAAGGAACCCUUCAUUCAGGCCAGGAGUUAAAGAGCAGCCUGGACAACAUGGCACGACCCCUUCUCUGUAGUCACACCUCAGCUUCCCAGAUACUUGAACCCCAAGGUUCAAGGCUGCAAUGAGCUAUGAUCCCAUCAGAGCACUGCAUCCUGCCAGGCUGAGUGAGGCGAGUUUCCUGCUUUCAUCACUACACCUCUCUCCGCUCUCCAUCACCUGCUCUGCUCUUAUAAGGAUCCAGAAAAAUGGAAUAAUCAUAUUGCUGAUCUACGUAGUUUCAAAGAAAAUAUGGUAUGUCUAAACUGGAAAAGUCCUGUAAUAGUGUGUUCAUCAGCAUUUACACAAUGGAGUUACUGUUCAUCAAUGGGGAUACUGUGGACAAGCCCAGGGCUGCUGGUGAAUCCUGCCAUUCUUACACAUCUCUCCUUGUAAGGGAUUGUGCUGCAUUCUGACAUAGGUUCUGCCAUCAAACACAGAAUGCCCUGAUCCUUACAGGCAGAGGCAGCUCUUCAGCCUAUGGGCUCAAGCUCUUGGACUCACUGAGACAGUAAAAGUACCAUAUCCUGUUUGAAUCAAACCCCGAGUUCCUGUAUGUAGAAGCCUUGCCAGAGGGGAUUCCCUUCCGAAGCCCUCCUGGUUUGAAAUUCCGUGACUGGAAAGGAUCGUCCAUGGGGACCUGAACUAGUUAUUUCCUACUCGCCUCCUGGAAUGGCUAAUAAACACUAAAGUUUUGCAGUUUCUGGGAAGACCAUGAAGCCCUGAGAGUAAUGAAAAGUUUCCUGACAUUGAGGUCACUGUGGAAGAUCAAAGGAUCAGAGAUCUCUCCUCUACACGAGGUGCCAUCCUUUCCUGAAGGAGCUCCUUGUAAAGUGUGUGAGGUGUUCCUUUUGGUAAAAAGACAUACUGUGCGACCACAGAGACCUGAACCUGAACCUAUAAAGAUUUGAACAAGGUAGGCUGAGGCUGACAUUGGUUCAGUAGCUCAAAGAUGGUAAGACUGGCUUCCCUGUGCUUCUCUUCACUCUCCUUUCUGGUGCACGAUGACCGAGAGAGCUCCUGUCAUCAUGUCUCCAUCCAAACAGGACACAUGGUCUCCCUCUGUUGCCCAGGCUAAAGUGCAGUGGCA